rnacentral:rRNA from 1 species
UGAUUUGGGCUACACACGUGCUACAAUGGCGUAAACAAAGGGAAGCGAGAUUGUGAGAUGGAGCAAAUCCCAAAAAUAACGUCCCAGUUCGGACUGUAGUCUGCAACCCGACUACACGAAGCUGGAAUCGCUAGUAAUCGCGGAUCAGAAUGCCGCGGUGAAUACGUUCCCGGGUCUUGUACACACCGCCCGUCACACCAUGGGAGUCAGUAACGCCCGAAGUCAGUGACCUAACUGCAAAGAAGGAGCUGCCGAAGGCGGGACCGAUGACUGGGGUGAAGUCGUAACAAGGUAGCCGUAUCGGAAGGUGCGGCUGGAUCACCUCCUUUCUAAGGAA